AGACUCGGUCUCACUCUGUCACCAAGUCUGGAGAGUAGUGACACUGUAACCUGGAACUCCUGGGCUCAAGCUGGAACUACAGAAGCUGACAGCAUGGCUGCCUUGUCAGAGUGCUUUCAUGCCAAGGAGCCAGUUCUCAGAAGCUGAAGAACGGAAAGUGCCUACAGCUACAGUCCAAACCAGAAUUUUCAAGUACAGUGAAGGCGGGAAUGAUGGAAGUAGAAAGGCAUCCACUUGUCCUCCAGACCAACUUGAGGGGGAUCAUAUUGGAGCGGGAG